rnacentral:rRNA from 1 species
ACGGAAGGCAGCAGUGGGGAAUAUUGCACAAUGGGGGAAACCCUGAUGCAGCGACGCCGCGUGAGUGAAGAAGUAUUUCGGUAUGUAAAGCUCUAUCAGCAGGAAAGAAAAUGACGGUACCUGACUAAGAAGCCCCGGCUAACUACGUGCCAGCAGCCGCGGUAAUACGUAGGGGGCAAGCGUUAUCCGGAUUUACUGGGUGUAAAGGGAGCGUAGACGGCUUUGCAAGUCUGAAGUGAAAGCCCGGGGCUCAACCCCGGAACUGCUUUGGAAACUGUAGAGCUAGAGUGCAGGAGAGGUAAGUGGAAUUCCUAGUGUAGCGGUGAAAUGCGUAGAUAUUAGGAGGAACACCAGUGGCGGAGGCGGCUUACUGGACUGUAACUGACGUUGAGGCUCGAAGGCGUGGGGAGCAAACAGGAUUAGAUACCCUGGUA